GGUCAUGGGUGGUGGUUGGUGAGGAUGUUACUGUUCUAAAUGACUUUUAAAUAGAUUAACAUCUGAAUGUCUAUUCACUCUUUAGAGUAUGGCUGUUCCGCUUCUUUGUAUAACAGCUGGCUCUUUCACGCAAUACACAAUAUUAUGUAAUGUAUACACACACACACAUUCAUACAGGCUAGUGUCUCUUGGAAGAAUACUAGUCAAGACACCUCCAUAACACACAAAGUAAGACUACCUCGGAUGGAAACACAGUCUCCACAGUUUUCAAAGAAGGGGGAAAGAGGCAGUCUCACCAAGGGAGGAGGGGAGAGAGAGAGAGUGAGAGUGAGAGAGAGAGACAGAGCGAGAGAGAGAAAAUGAGAGCGAGAGAGAGAACGAGAGAACGAGAGAGAGAGAGACAGGGAGCGAGAGAGAGACAGAGAGACAGAGCUCAUGAAGCAGCAGAGACUUUCCAGAGGAGGAGUGAAGGAAGAAGAAAAUGACCCACAGCAGAAGGAGCUGAUGAACUAGCCUAUAUUAAUACAACAGGCAGAGAGCACAAAAACACAGCAGGAGUCCUUUGUAAGUGGAGAUAAACAGCGUUGAUAUUGCACAACCGCUGCCUUUUCCACUGGCACCAAGAGAUGACAACAGCUACUACUAACUGGGAGAGAAGCAAGAAUAAAAGGAGAGGGUAACAGUGGAGAGAGAGACGGUGGAAAGCAAACCAAUGACAGCUGGAGAAAGCUCAAAUCAAGCCCGAUUUGUUUCCUUUCUGAAACCCAGAACAGACUGUACAGAGGACAGCAGUGCAGCGGAUGGGGUUUUGGUCAUCUCUUGGCUUCGAUGCUAAUCGCUACUUGAGGACUUAUCUCUGCUAACCCUAAUCCUGAAAAGACCGCUGGGUCGAGGAGGCGAGGUCACCACCUCUGUCUCACUGCUGGCUCCAACUCACCCAGCAACACACAGGGAACUCGCUCUCCACACACUCACUCAGCAAAGUGGUCACAUCACACAACCUGCACCCAGAUACUACAGAGUUGCACCCCCCCUCAGUGUGAGGGACAUGAUGGAUGCCAGGGAGGAGAUGCUGACCCUGCUACAGAAGCUCUGGGCCAAACUGCAGGGUCUCCCCACCGCCAGCCCUCUGGAGAUGGGGGCCUUCGCUGUCCUCGUCCUCUUUAUCGUGGUCUUCCUGCUCAUGCUGCUGAUGACCUGUUUGACAUGCUGCUGCUGUCACAGAACCAGAACCAAGGGCCAACAUAGUCAGCUAACCUGAGACAAUCCCCACUUCCCCCAAUAAUGAGGAGAGACAUUAUAAACAGGCACUCUACUGACCUCUAAACCCCAGAAGAAUGAGGACCCAUGCAGAGAGGUGUGAACUGAAAACCCUCUGUCACCACUAUAUCACCAGGAGAGACAUUCUGGAGAAGCACUCUAUGGGCCUAUUAACCCCAGAGGAAUGAGGAGGACCCAUGGGGAGGGUGUGGAGCCCGUCUAUAAAGGAACCCGGCUCUUGAACAACACACCUCCAUACAAAACACACACAGAGCCUCCCUGAGAAGCAGCAAAACAGGCCCGGCUUCCAGGAGUAUCAACAUUCCAUGGGGCAUCCCUGGGCUCUGCUGGCUAACAAAGCAGUCUUUGACGUGAGAGAUGGACAAGACUAGACCUCUAGGACAGCUUCAACUGAUCCACACAACACAAGGACACAAGGAACACAGGAGCAUGGAAUCACACACACACACAAAGGCAUCAAGUAAUACAAACAACUGGACAUGUAGCUAAAAGAUCCCAAUAGAAGCACAGGAGAUUGCUUGGGAAGAUGAAUGUCUGUCAGUUCUAGGAUGUAUGGGUGUCAACUCAACCUCUGCCACUGGCUCAGAGACUCUAAGAAAGAGCCCUCUGCAGUUUCCAUCAGCAACUCACUUAAAUGGAGGCAUCUUGCCAAACACCGUGUGAGAGUGUUGCCAUAUGUCUUCUAUGUAAAGGACUUCCUUUGCUUUAUUGCCUUGUUCAAGUGCUAGAUGAAACUAGGAAACUCAGAAAUGUCCGACUUGCUAACUGGUUGAACGCGGCACGUGUAUAACUACAACCAGUUAGCAAGGCGAAAAAGUCUGUUUCCUAGUUUCGACUAGCACGUGAACACAGCAUUAGUUCAGCAAAAACAAGCCAUUAUCUCAUUCCUCAGGCGAUUCAGAGGACCAUGCCUGCCCUCUGCUGUACAAACAUGGAACUGAGGCAGUGAGGAAGCCUUGGAAUAUGCUUCACAGUU